GAAGGUGACCGGCUAGAGAGAGAAAAUGAUGGGUGAAAAUGAGAGAAAAGAAAAAAAAAGGGCUUAUAUAUCGAGAUUUAGAGUCUAAAUAGCGUCGUCUCAAUAGAGUAAGGAAUAAAGAGGGAUCAACGCCUAAAGGGCAUCGUUCGAAAGGGAGCCUAACGGACCAACAAAGCAAGCUCGGGAUGCUCCUAUGCGGACCAGAUAACUUGAGCCAUCACCCUAGCCCAAGCAAGACAGGGAUCGGCCUAACGUGUAAUCAUCGACGUGUAUGGUCCAUCGCAAAUAGAUAAGGGCAUCUCAUAGCAUUUUAUCCCUAGUUGCUUCGCUGUUAGAGAUCGAAUCAUAGCACUUUAUUUAUUAAGUUGUAAACAGAUAUUGGUUUUGUUAUAAGUAAAUAAUUGAAGAAUGUAAAUCUCGAUGUAUAUACUUGUGAUUAAAUGGUUUAAAGCUUGAAUCGAUUAUUAUGUUUAUUGUUUAAA